UACGUAGGGAGCGAGCGUUGUCCGGAAUUACUGGGUGUAAAGGGUGCGUAGGCGGGACGGCAAGUCAGAUGUGAAAUACCGGGGCUCAACCCCGGGGCUGCAUUUGAAACUGUCGUUCUUGAGUGAGGUAGAGGUAAGCGGAAUUCCUAGUGUAGCGGUGAAAUGCGUAGAUAUUAGGAGGAACAUCGGUGGCGAAGGCGGCUUACUGGGCCUUUACUGACGCUGAGGCACGAAAGCGUGGGGAGCAAAC
rnacentral:rRNA from 1 species